CCUGUGUCUGUCUGUCCUCAGAUCAGGAGCUGGCGGUGCUGCGGGCAGAGAACAGGAAGAACAUGCUGCUGUCGGUGGCUCUGCUGGCUGUCUGUGCUCUGAUCUACUUUUCCCUGAUCUACUGAGCCCAGAGCCCUGGUGCAGCAGGCUGCCAGCUUUUUUGGGGGACCGGCUGCCAUCGGCUUCAACACACUCUGCAACAGAAAGGAGAAGAGGUCGGACGAAGCCCAGCAGUGUCUGCGGUGCUGUGCUGCAGUCUCGGGGCGCUCGGAGAGGGAGGGCAGCUGCUUGCUGCUCAGGGGGAAGGCCAGGACACAGAAGGUCUCACCACCACCCCCCUAAAAGAAUACACAGUCACUGCUGCUCAAUGCUCUGUCCACACUGGCACUGUCUGCAGGUCAGAGCUGAACUGACAUUGCAAGUUCUACCACCAUCUCUCCAUAGUGACGUAGCUCCAUACAGAGUACUACUGACAGUCACAUCUGUGAAUAUAUAAAAUAAAAACAGUGCCAUCA